GAUGAACGCUGGCGGCGUGCCUAAUACAUGCAAGUCGAGCGAACGGACGAGACGCUUGCUUUUCUGAUGUUAGCGGCGGACGGGUGAGUAACACGUGGAUAACCUACCUAUAAGACUGGGAUAACUUCGGGAAACCGGAGCUAAUACCGGAUAAUAUUUUGAACAGCAUGGUUCAAAAGUGAAAGACGGUCUUGCUGUCACUUAUAGAUGGAUCCGCGCUGCAUUAGCUAGUUGGUACGGUAACGGCUUACCAAGGCAACGAUGCAUAGCCGACCUGAGAGGGUGAUCGGCCACACUGGAACUGAGACACGGUCCAGACUCCUACGGGAGGCAGCAGUAGGGAAUCUUCCGCAAUGGGCGAAAGCCUGACGGAGCAACGCCGCGUGAGUGAUGAAGGUCUUCGGAUCGUAAAACUCUGUUAUUAGGGAAGAAGAGAUGUGUAAGUAACUGUGCACAUCUUGACGGUACCUACUCAGAAAGCCACGGCUAACUACGUG
rnacentral:rRNA from 1 species